GUAGUGGCCUACCAGGCGACGACGGGUAGCCGACCUGAGAGGGUGACCGGCCCACUGGGACUGAGACACGGCCCAGACUCCUACGGGAGGCAGCAGUGGGGAAUAUUGCACAAUGGGCGGAAGCCUGAUGCAGCGACGCCGCGUGAGGGAUGAAGGCCUUCGGGUUGUAAACCUCUUUCAGCAGGGACGAAGCGUGAGUGACGGUACCUGCAGAAGAAGCACCGGCUAACUACGUGCCAGCAGCCGCGGUAAUACGUAGGGUGCGAGCGUUGUCCGGAAUUACUGGGCGUAAAGAGUUCGUAGGCGGUUUGUCGCGUUGUUCGUGAAAACCCGAGGCUCAACCUCGGGCGUGCGGGCGAUACGGGCAGACUGGAGUACUGCAGGGGAGACUGGAAUUCCUGGUGUAGCGGUGGAAUGCGCAGAUAUCAGGAGGAACACCGGUGGCGAAGGCGGGUCUCUGGGCAGUAACUGACGCUGAGGAGCGAAAGCGUGGGGAGCGAACAGGAUUAGAUACCCUGGUAGUCCACGCCGUAAACGUUGGGCGCUAGG
rnacentral:rRNA from 1 species